GCGAGCGUGGCGAAAUUGGUAUACGCACCAGAUUUAGGAUCUGACGCCUCUGGCAUGGGGGUUCGAGUCCCCCCGCUCGCA
rnacentral:tRNA from 1 species